UACGUAGGUGGCAAGCGUUGUCCGGAAUUAUUGGGCGUAAAGCGCGCGCAGGCGGCCUUUUAAGUCUGAUGUGAAAGCCCACGGCUCAACCGUGGAAGGUCAUUGGAAACUGAAAGGCUUGAGUACAGAAGAGGAAAGCGGAAUUCCACGUGUAGCGGUGAAAUGCGUAGAGAUGUGGAGGAACACCAGUGGCGAAGGCGGCUUCCUGGCCCAUUACUGACGUUCAGGCACGAAAGCGUGGGGAGCAAACAGG
rnacentral:rRNA from 1 species